rnacentral:lncRNA from 1 species
UGGUUGAAUGUGGUGUGGUUUAUUAGUGUUGAAUGUGGUGUGGUUUAUUAGUGUUGAAUGUGGUGUGGUUUAUUAGUGUUGAAUGUGGUGUGGUUUAUUAGUGUUGAAUGUGGUGUAGUUUAUUAGUGUUGAAUGUGGUGUGGUUUAUUAGUGUUGAAUGUGGUGUAGUUUAUUAGUGUUGAAUGUGGUGUGGUUUAUUAGUGUUGAAUGUGGUGGAGUUUAUUAGUGUUGAAUGUGGUGUAGUUUAUUAGUGUUGAAUGUGGUGUGGUUUAUUAGUGUUGAAUGUGGUGUGGUUUAUUAGUGUUGAAUGUGGUGUGGUUUAUUAGUGUUGAAUGUGGUGUGGUUUAUUAGUGUUGAAUGUGGUGUAGUUUAUUAGUGUUGAUUGUGGUGUAGUUUAUUAGUGUUGAAUGUGGCGUGGUUUAUUAUGUUGAAUGUGGUGGGGUUUAUUAGUGUUGAAUGUGGUGGGGUUUAUUAGUGUUGAAUGUGGUGUGGUUUAUUAGUGUUGAAUGUGGUGUGGUUUAUUAGUGUUGAAUGUGGUGUGGUUUAUUAGUGUUGAAUGUGGUGUGGUUUAUUAGUGUUGAAUGUGGUGUAGUUUAUUAGUGUUGAAUGUGGUGUGGUUUAUUAGUGUUGAAUGUGGUGUAGUUUAUUAGUGUUGAAUGUGGUGAAGUUUAUUAGUGUUGAAUGUGGUGUAGUUUAUUAGUGUUGAAUGUGGUGUAGUUUAUUAGUGUUGAAUGUGGUGUGGUUUAUUAGUGUUGAAUGUGGUGUAGUUUAUUAGUGUUGAAUGUGGUGUGGUUUAUUAGUGUUGAAUGUGGUGGAGUUUAUUAGUGUUGAAUGUGGUGUGGUUUAUUAGUGUUGAAUGUGGUGUGUUUAUUAGUGUUGAAUGUGGUGUAGUUUAUUAGUGUUGAAUGUGGUGUGGUUUAUUAGUGUUGAAUGUGGUGUAGUUUAUUAGUGUUGAAUGUGGUGUGGUUUAUUAGUGUUGAAUGUG